ensembl:lncRNA
CUAUCGUUCCCUCUCUGUCAUUCUCUCCCCUCCCACCUCCUCAUGCGGUCGCUUGCAUACACAUGCGCCCUUACGAUCUCGCUCUCUUUUCCUCUCUCUCCGCCGGCUGCAGUGCUUCUCUUCUCAUCCUUGCAGCCUGGCAGCUUCAUCCGUGUUCCUCCCUCCUAGAUGGAGAAACACGCACAGCCUUUCCAAUGGUCCCCCCACCCCUCUGCGUGCCUCCCUUAAAAAAACCCCCAGGCCCCUUAAACAGCUCCUUUUCCUACUUGUCUCGGUGCCUGAUCACCAUUCGCUCUCCUUUGCACUUCACUUACAUUCUUAUUUUUUCUCUUUUUUUUCCGUUAAAUAAUUUGCCAGCUCUAUCCCACAAAUUUUCACAUUCAUAAUGUGAAAGCAGUUCAGAGUGCAGAAUGAACAGUAGGAAAUGGGAUGGGUAGGAGGAAAAAACGCUAAGAGGAGAGAAGUGACUGGGAUAGCGGAGAGGAGGAAGGAUCCGGAGCAACGGGAGAAAGAGCCGAACGUGGGAUCAACGAAACCGCGGGAAAAGGAGGAGGAACGACCAGACUGGAAUGCUGUGGAAAUACAGUUUGGAAUCAUCAUUGUUACUCCUUCUUCAAGACCGGAAUGAUGGAAAGAAUUUCAGCAUGUACGACUAAAUAUCAUUUGGAACAUCAUGUGGGUCGCAACCUCAGAAGAUUUGGAGACGGCACUCGAUUUGAAGAUUUGGAGAAGAAACCGUCAUUGUGAGAGUGAUGCAUUUACUUUUUUUGUCAAAUGACAAAGGAAAGACGGAAGGUAAAGAAGUGUCGUCAUCCGAGAUUAGUAUGCGGCUACUUCUACUCCACGUUACCUGAAACGGCACCCCAGAUUUUCAGACAUCCGUGAUAUCAGCUUCAGACCACUUUGACGCAGCUGUCGGGGAUGGUACCCAUUGGCUGACUUUGUGCCCUGACCACUCGGAGCGACCAAUCCAAAGCCAGCCUAGGUUCACGACCCCUAUACAUUUCUCCCGAGGCUUUGAUGCGAAUCUGUUCCAUGAAACCAUUUUACGGGCUAGCCUGCCAUCUUGUGCUCAUUAUUGUCAAACAUUUUGGUGAUGGAUAUUGCCCCGGAGCGGCUCAUAUGAGACAUGGUGUUUUUAUUCUUUUUCUGCAGUGAAGAUAAUUAGAUUUUAUAGCGUGAGACAGCGUGAACUUUUAAGAGAAUGUAUAAGCGUUGUUUGUUUUUCAAUUAGAUACAGUUUGGUACUAUAUCUGUAAAAUAUGUAGGCAGUAUGAUUCAUUACAAGAUUCAUCAAGUAUAUCAUUAGUAUUAAAAUAUAUCAUAUGGAGCAUAUUUUUCUUAUGUGUCCAUUAUCCAAUGCAUUCAUUUACAAUUUUUGCAUAACCUGAAAUCACAAAAUCUGAUCUAAAACCUUAUACAGUGACCUGAAAAUCAAAGCAAACUCGUGGAUAAUCCUUGACCGUAUUAUAUAAUAUGCAUCACAUUUUCUCCCAACCAUAUGUUUAUGUCUUUUGUUCUACUCAG